rnacentral:rRNA from 1 species
GAUGAACGCUGGCGGCGUGCCUAAUACAUGCAAGUCGAGCGAACGGACGAGAAGCUUGCUUCUCUGAUGUUAGCGGCGGACGGGUGAGUAACACGUGGAUAACCUACCUAUAAGACUGGGAUAACUUCGGGAAACCGGAGCUAAUACCGGAUAAUAUUUUGAACCGCAUGGUUCAAAAGUGAAAGACGGUCUUGCUGUCACUUAUAGAUGGAUCCGCGCUGCAUUAGCUAGUUGGUAAGGUAACGGCUUACCAAGGCAACGAUGCAUAGCCGACCUGAGAGGGUGAUCGGCCACACUGGAACUGAGACACGGUCCAGACUCCUACGGGAGGCAGCAGUAGGGAAUCUUCCGCAAUGGGCGAAAGCCUGACGGAGCAACGCCGCGUGAGUGAUGAAGGUCUUCGGAUCGUAAAACUCUGUUAUUAGGGAAGAACAUAUGUGUAAGUAACUGUGCACAUCUUGACGGUACCUAAUCAGAAAGCCACGGCUAACUACGUGCCAGCAGCCGCGGUAAUACGUAGGUGGCAAGCGUUAUCCGGAAUUAUUGGGCGUAAAGCGCGCGUAGGCGGUUUUUUAAGUCUGAUGUGAAAGCCCACGGCUCAACCGUGGAGGGUCAUUGGAAACUGGAAAACUUGAGUGCAGAAGAGGAAAGUGGAAUUCCAUGUGUAGCGGUGAAAUGCGCAGAGAUAUGGAGGAACACCAGUGGCGAAGGCGACUUUCUGGUCUGUAACUGACGCUGAUGUGCGAAAGCGUGGGGAUCAAACAGGAUUAGAUACCCUGGUAGUCCACGCCGUAAACGAUGAGUGCUAAGUGUUAGGGGGUUUCCGCCCCUUAGUGCUGCAGCUAACGCAUUAAGCACUCCGCCUGGGGAGUACGACCGCAAGGCUGAAACUCAAAGGAAUUGACGGGGACCCGCACAAGCGGUGGAGCAUGUGGUUUAAUUCGAAGCAACGCGAAGAACCUUACCAAAUCUUGACAUCCUUUGACAACUCUAGAGAUAGAGCCUUCCCCUUCGGGGGACAAAGUGACAGGUGGUGCAUGGUUGUCGUCAGCUCGUGUCGUGAGAUGUUGGGUUAAGUCCCGCAACGAGCGCAACCCUUAAGCUUAGUUGCCAUCAUUAAGUUGGGCACUCUAAGUUGACUGCCGGUGACAAACCGGAGGAAGGUGGGGAUGACGUCAAAUCAUCAUGCCCCUUAUGAUUUGGGCUACACACGUGCUACAAUGGACAAUACAAAGGGCAGCGAAACCGCGAGGUCAAGCAAAUCCCAUAAAGUUGUUCUCAGUUCGGAUUGUAGUCUGCAACUCGACUACAUGAAGCUGGAAUCGCUAGUAAUCGUAGAUCAGCAUGCUACGGUGAAUACGUUCCCGGGUCU